rnacentral:rRNA from 1 species
GACGAACGCUGGCGGCGUGCUUAACACAUGCAAGUCGAACGGUGAAGGGACCAGCUUGCUGGUUCUGGAUGAGUGGCGAACGGGUGAGUAACACGUGAGUAACCUGCCCCCUUCUUCUGGAUAACCGCAUGAAAGUGUGGCUAAUACGGGAUAUUCUGGGUCUGUCGCAUGGCGGGCCCGGGAAAGAUAUUGCUUCGGUGGGGGAUGGGCUCGCGGCCUAUCAGCUUGUUGGUGGGGUGAUGGCCUACCAAGGCGGUGACGGGUAGCCGGCCUGAGAGGGGGGACGGUGACACUGGGACUGAGACAAGGCCCAGACUCCUACGGGAGGCAGCAGUGGGGAAUAUUGCACAAUGGGCGCAAGCCUGAUGCAGCGACGCCGCGUGAGGGAUGGAGGCCUUCGGGUUGUAAACCUCUUUCGCCAGUGAAGCAGGCCUGCUCCUUGUGGGUGGGUUGACGGUAGCUGGAUAAGAAGCGCCGGCUAACUACGUG